CAUUAGUUUAGUGGUAAAAUAUCUGCCUUCCAAGCAGAU
rnacentral:tRNA from 1 species